UCUGGUAAAAAGGAGACUUAAACUCCUCUUAGCGAAUUUACAAUCCGCCACCUAAACUCUCGGCCACUUUACCU
rnacentral:tRNA from 1 species